UACGUAGGGACCGAGCGUUGUCCGGAUUCAUUGGGCGUAAAGAGCUCGUAGGCGGCUGUUCAAGUCGAACGUGAAAACUCGGAGCUCAACUCCGAGCCUGCGUUCGAUACUGGACGGCUAGAGUCUGGUAGGGGGAUCUGGAAUUCCUGGUGUGAGCGGUGGGAAUGCGCAGAUAUCAGGAGGAACACCGGUGGCGAAGGCGGGAUCCUGGGCCAGUACUGACGCUGAGGAGCGAAAGCGUGGGGAGCAAACAGG
rnacentral:rRNA from 1 species